rnacentral:rRNA from 1 species
CACUGCUCUGACGGAUGCUUUUAUUAGACCAAGCCGCUGAGGACUUGAGGGCUUGCUCUCCUGUCUGACUCGUGUAAUGGUGACUCUGGAUAACCAAAUUUCUGACAAGCGCACGUACUUCUCUUCUGAGCGAGACGGCGCUGCCACUUUCGAGUGUCUGCCUUAUCAGCUAUCAACCGUUCGUUAUGCGCGACCGAUGGCUUUGACGGGUAACGGGGAAUCAGGGUUCGAUUCCGGAGAGGCAGCCUGAGAGACGGCUACCACGUCCAAGGACGGCAGCAGGCACGCAAAUUACCCAAUCCCAGCAAAUGGGGGAGGUAGUGACGAAAUCUAACGAUGCGGGCGCCCUUUCUGGGGCCCCGCAAUCGGAAUGGGCACUUUCUAAACAACCUGUUGAGAACCUACUGAAGGGCAAGUCUGGUGCCAGCAGCCGCGGUAAUUCCAGCUUCAGCAGCAUCUAUUAAAGUUGCUGCGGUUAAAAGGCUCGCAGUUGAAUGUCUGUAUCGAGCGCAGGUCAGGUGGACGUUGGGGCGUGGAAGUACGGGCAGUUGGAUGUCCGGAGGGCCUUCGUGCUCAACGGCUCCUUCGGCUUUUCCACACACCCCCGUCCGUGACAAGCCUCCUCGCUCGGGUACAUAACGGGAAUCGGUCAAACGGAGUGUGGUCGGGGGUUGGGGCGCGUGGCCUCGGUUGCGUGUCUCUUCUUUCGGCUGCGUUAAGCUCCAUCGGUUUCACGGUCACCUUGAGUAAAUCAGAGUGCUCAAAGCAGUCGUAGGGGCCUUGCGCCCUGUGAACAGUCUUGACGGACUGACUUGGUUUUGCAUGGCAUGUCGGAAGACGACGUCGUGUGCUGGCUCAGAGGAUAAAUCAGUGGUACAAGCCAGCCUCGACGUAAUGAUUAAAAGGGACGGUCGAGGGCAUUGGUAUUGCGAGGCGAGAGGUGAAAUUCUGUGACCCCCGCAAGACCUCCUGAAGCGAAAGCGUCUGCCAAGGACGUUUUCAUUAAUCAUGAACGAAAGUUAGAGGAUCGAAGGCGAUCAGAUACCGCCCUAGUUCUAACCCUAAACGAUGCCAACCAUCAAUCCGCGCGUAGCACCCUUCUUAACGGGCUCGGCGGGCAGCUCCCCACUCACGGGAAACCAGAGCCUCUGGGUUCCGGGGGGAGUCUGGUUGCAAAGCUGAAACUUAAAGGAAUUGACGGAAAGGCACCACCAGGCGUGGAGCCUGCGGCUUAAUUUGACUCAACACGGGCCAUCUCACCAGGCCAGCACUCUUGUACG